GAUGAACGCUGGCGGCGUGCCUAAUACAUGCAAGUCGAGCGAACGGACGAGAAGCUUGCUUCUCUGAUGUUAGCGGCGGACGGGUGAGUAACACGUGGAUAACCUACCUAUAAGACUGGGAUCACUUCGGGAAACCGGAGCUAAUACCGGAUAAUAUUUUGAACCGCAUGGUUCAAAAGUGAAAGACGGUCUUGCUGUCACUUAUAGAUGGAUCCGCGCUGCAUUAGCUAGUUGGUAAGGUAACGGCUUACCAAGGCAACGAUGCAUAGCCGACCUGAGAGGGUGAUCGGCCACACUGGAACUGAGACACGGUCCAGACUCCUACGGGAGGCAGCAGUAGGGAAUCUUCCGCAAUGGGCGAAAGCCUGACGGAGCAACGCCGCGUGAGUGAUGAAGGUCUUCGGAUCGUAAAACUCUGUUAUUAGGGAAGAACAGAUGUGUAAGUAACUGUGCACAUCUUGACGGUACCUAAUCAGAAAGCCACGGCUAACUACGUG
rnacentral:rRNA from 1 species